AAUAGUUUUGUAGCAUUAUCCACUCUCCAACAUUAAAUAAUGUUCACUUAACAUUCAUUCUAUUGUGAAACAAAGUAAGUUGUAAGGUUUUUUUUUUUUAAGAUUUAUACAUUUAUUAUAUAUAAGUACACUGUAGCUGUCUUCAGAUACACCAGAAAAGGGCAUCGGAUCUCUUUACAGAUGGUUGUGAGCCACCAUGUGGUUGCUGGGAAUUGAACUCAGGACCUCUGGAAGAGCAGUCAGUGCUCUUAACUGCUGAGCCAUCUCUCCAGCCCGUAAGUUUUUUUUUUUUUUAAUUAGAGGACCAGUAAGUAGAUUUGUUUUUUCAAAUCACUAAGAUUUAAAAACAAGGGCCAAACAACGACAACAACAAAAAGCCAAGAGCAGAGCUUUAAUCCCACUUCUCCAGAGGCAGAGACAAAGGCAGGCUUAUUAUCCCUGUGAGUUCAAGGCCAGCCUGGCCUACAAACCGAGGUCAGGACAGCCAGGGCUACACAGAGAAACCCUGUCAGAUCUCAGUGUUGCCCCUUAGUAAAACCUUCACCACACUUGGAGUCAUAAUAAAUAGUACCUUCUUCAGAUGCUCUGGAGGCUGAGGCAAGAUGAUCACGAAUUCAAGGCCUGCCUAAGCAACCUAGUGAGCCUUUCCGUCAAAAAGUAAAAACAGAGAUGGGAGAGGUGACAGGACUUCUCGUAGCUCAUAAUAGCCUGCACCUUACUAGGUAUCUGAGUUAAAGCACUUGCCCCCAACCUCGGGGCCCACGCGGUGAGAAGAGAGAACCAACUCCCACAAGUUGGUCUCUGACUGCCACACAAGCCCAGGCAUGAAUGUGGGCAUUAACACACAGGGAAAAUAAAUAAAUAUGGUUUGUAGAGAGAAAAUCAGGGAUAGAGGAUGCUCGCCACUAUUCAUGAGGCCCUGUAUGCUCAACAUUGCAUGAAAAAUAAAAAUAGAUAAAAUUAGUAACCUGGUAUGAUUUGGGAAAGCAUGCUGUAUUCGGAGACAAUCAAACGCAUCUCAGUAAAGUUACAAGUCAUUGCUGUCUGUCAUCUCCCUAAAACCAUUCUGGUGGAGAAGACAUUCACUAGCUGUUAUGGAGUAACACUUAGUCAAUAUCCCCAAAGCCAAGGUGCCUCCAAGCACCAUUUGCAUCUCUAAGCUUGCCAACUGCCAUUAUGAAGGGAGCACAUUCCUCUUCUAGGCUUAAAUCGAGGGAAGAAAAGAAGGGGAGAUUAAAAUAUUUCCACUCCACUGUGCCAGUCUAGCGAGCAAAUUCAAUGUCUGGUAUUUGUUUAAGGGCACCUCAGCUUGGAGUGGCUGCCGGCUUGGCCUGAAAGACCUCUAUUAUGGCCAACUGGUAAUAAGGAGGGCGGCACCCUGUCAGCACAAGGCAGCUUCCUCGGACACGUUUAUGGCAGAAUCUGUGGGACAGCUUCUCAGAGGAGACCUGUUCUAGGUGAGUAAGCUACGAGCUGCUCAGUGCUUGUGUGUGAAGCAAGAUCCUCCUGGGAGGGAGGGACCCUGGCGACACCAGAGAAGUGAGUGGAUGCUUGUCAGUACCUGAGCUAGAGCUUGGCAAGAAGGAUUAUUAACAACAGCCACCACCGCCAGGCCCUGUGCUUUCUGCAACGUGAGUUUUAUAGUUUGGCCUUCACAGAACGUGUGGACUGGGGUUGGGGAUUUAGCUCAGUGGUAGAGUGCUUGCCUAGCAAGCGCAAGGCCCUGGGUUCGAUCCCCAGCUCAGAAAAACAGAAAAAAGAAAACAGAACGUGUGGACUGCUAUUUCCCCGCUUCUAGGCAUCGGAAGGCAGAGGUUCCAAAUGGCUUGCUCCUUUAUUCCAGUUCUCUGCUAAGCCAGGACUCAGUCACUGGCCACCCAAUUCCUGAGCUGAUUAACCUUCUUACCAGUCCUGCUGUGUUUUAAGGACUACUUAUUAUCUCUAAGCAAUAUUCCAUGGUUGAUCAGCAUUCCACGUUUACCCUUAGGUGUAGGCUUUUUUCGCCUCCACAUGGCUGUUGACCAUAUAAUUGUUUAUUAGAUGGUAUAUUUCAUGCAUUCCUUUGUAGGAAUUUUAUAUUUUGCAAGAUCUUCCCCCACCUGUCAGCCCCAUCCCCGCAGAGGUUUGCAGUAUAACCUAGGCCAGCUUCGGUCUCACAGUCUCCUGCCUCUGCCUGACAGUGGUGGAAGUUCAGGCAUGUGCCACCCUGCCUGGCCGAAAAGAAGCCUUCACAAACCAGGAUGCACAGACAUUGUUGACGGUUGGAGACCUUGUGCAGGCAUGUUGGGAAGAAGAAUCGCUUCCUAAGAUUGGAGUAAGCUGCUAUCCUCUGAGGACGAAGUAAAUGGUUUUGAAUUUAUAUGAAUAAUGCAGAGAGAAAGAGACUCAAGUUGACUUUUUUCUUAAUUUCUUAAGUACCAGUUAUCCAUCUAGCUCUGAUUCUUCUUUUAAAAGAUUCAUUUUGGGCUGGGGAUUUAGCUCAGUGGUAGAGCGCUUACCUAGGAAGUGCAAGGUCCUGGGUUCGGUCCCCAGCUCCGAAAAAAAGAACAAAAAAAAAAAAAAAAGAUUCAUUUUAUUUUAAUCUUUUAUGCAUACGAGUGCUUGUAUGUGUUUGAACCACGUUUGAGCCUGGUGCCUGUGAAGGCCAGAAGGCAUCAGAGUUACAGACAACGGGAGGCUCCCAUGUGGGCCAGUGGGAAUCGAACUCAGGUCUUCCACAAAACCAGGAAGGUACUCUUAACCACUGAACUGUCUCUCCACCCCUUCCUGAGACUUUUAGUUCAAAAGAGGUGAGGAUAUAAAAUCAACACUCACCAAAUACUGCAAAUAUUUUGCUCUCAAAUCUGUCUAUGUCUCCAAACUUUUUUUUUUUUUUUUGGUUCUUUUUUUCGGAGCUGGGGACCGAACCCAGGGCCUUGCGCUUCCUAGGCAAACGCUCUACCACUGAGCUAAAUCCCCAACCCUAUGUCUCCAAACUUUAAGAAGUAAUAAUAAUAAAAACCUUUAUCAUAAAAAAAUUUCUAGCUUUAGGAAUGCGUAUGGGUGGGCAUGAAAUAGCUGGGGGGGGGGGGGGGACAGUUCUCAGUUUCACCAUCAUAGCCUCACUCCCAAAGGCAGACUUUCUGCUCUUUUUGGGUUUGGUCUGGUCUGGUCUGGUCUGGUCUGGUCUGGUCUGGUCUGGUCUGGUCUGGUCUGGUCUGGUCUGGUCUGGUUUGGUUUGGUUUGAGGAACUGCUGGAGCCUGCAAAGGGAAGCUCACUGUGAUUCUCACCAACAGAGGCCUUGAUCCCACAGUCACAUGCGGGAGUUCUUAUUACAGACACAGGGAAAGAGCCGGGGAAAGAGCUCUGAGGUAGAGCCCCAGCACAGCAAAAAUAAACACCUAACUAAGCAAAUAUGUCGUCCUAGAGAUACCGCGAACUCGGGAUAGACGGGGUUCCUUGUCGAAGCGUGGACGGUAGGUAGAGAAGACACCCAAGCCAAAGGGCCGAUCUGAAAACAACGAGCAAGGUCAUUUCCGAUAGUGAUUGAUCCGUGGUAUGGAGAAGGCAAACUGGCUAACAGGAUGUCGGAGGGAGCCGCGUUGGGAAGCAGGCUUCCUUGGAGAGGGAGGCUCCAAGCAGCGACUCCAAGAUAGAAUGUUUGAACUGAGGCUUUAAUCGUGAGAAGGAGGCAGCCACGCAGAGCUCUGGUUUGCAACACCCUGAGGCUGAACGAACCCAGGACCAUGUUGGAGAGUCGAAGUGAGUCAGGAAAGAAAGGUGGGGAAAAUCUUGGUACUUAAGAAGGUAGGGGAGGAAUCCAGACACAGCCUUUGCUGGUAAAUUAACAUCUGCCUAAGGCCUUUUCUCUUCCUGGCCGUGAACCUGCAGGUUUCUAGUAAUCUCACCAGAAACCUUAUUUACAGGGAAACGGGUGUACCAAAGGCUGUAUGCAACACUAGAAGCACAAUUCCACCCAAGGCACCUUAGGGUCACCUUGAGUAUCUCUUUAUCAGAAGGGAGAAGGGAGCUUCUUAGCAGCCGAAAGGAUAUAUAUGACUAAUGCUAGAGCAAUGGCUUACUCUUUUUUAGAAAGGUCUGUACCUACACUUGGAGAUAUCUUACUUUCCCUUACUCUCUCUGUGUCUUUGAGUGUCUCUCUUUCUCUUAACUUUCAUGCUUAUGCCUAUAUUAAAAUAUACUUAAUAAAAUCACCAACUCUAUUUCUCAAACUGGCUGUCCUGAAAUUCCUUUCAGUGUUGAAGCCAAGAAUCCUGGUUCUCCCUGAGUCAAGACCCCUGAAAGCUUAUGAUUUGAAUUCUAUGGAGCUUUGAAUGUCCGGCUAAGACAGGUUCCUGUUUUUUUAAAAAACAUAUUUUAGACAAGCAUUUUAUCUCUAACGUUUGUAACUUCUGCAUGGAAGGGAUUGGCCUUGAGAAAGAGAGCUAGAUGAUCUGAAUCCUGCUGAUAGCAUUGAGAGAGAGGUGACCCCUCAGUCUUCCUACGUGAAUGUUAGCUAGUGGGGCCGGCCUUGGGUGGGAGAGGCUCAUGGGGCCGGCCUUGGGUGGGAGAGGCUCAGAGACGGGACUCCGGGAAGAUGAGGAAGCAAGACAAGGCUGGAAACUCUGUCCUAAUCACAGACUUCUCUUAGUUCUGAAAACUAGAGGAAGAAAAGAAACGGUGUGUGUGUGUGUGUGUGUGUGUGUGUGUGUGUGUGUGUGUGUGUGUGUGUGUGUGUGUGUGUUUUGUUUUGUUUUACUAACUUACCAUGUUGAAAAUUUCACCCUAAAGAGACAUGGCUGGGGUGUCACUCAAUGGCCAGGAGUGUACAAAGCGUGUGCAAGGCUCCAAGCUCCAUCCCCAGCAUCAGAAACAAGCAGGAGCUUCAAACUGGAGAAGAGUUAAGACAAUGGUAUGAUGGUAUCUUUACCAAAAUUCAUUAACUGUUUAUGGUGAAGUAUAACUGGGCCACAUUUACUAUCUUGCAUAUACAUAGAUCUGAGAUUUAUAGAGCACUUUUUAUGCCUAAUUUUUUGUAUUCUAACAUGUACAUUUGUUUGUUUUUUAAUCUUUCUCUCCCUCUCUCCCUCUCUGCAUCCCUCCCUCCUCCUCCUCUCCCUCUUCCUCCUCCUCUUCCUCUUCCUCCUCUUCCUCCUCCUCUUCUUCUUCCUCUCUCUCUCUCUCUCUCUGUCUCUCUCUCUCUCUCUCUCUCUCUCUCUCUCUCUCUCUCUGUGUGUGUGUGUGUGUGUAUGUGGGCAUGCACACACACUGAGGAUCAACUCCAAGAACUUUUACAUACUAAAUGUGGACUACCACUAAGUUAUAUCCCUAGGCUCCAAGAGUAAUCUCAGAUCGUGAUUCCCCACCAUAAGUGAAAAAUCCCACGCAGAGAGACCCUUACUCAAGUCUUGGGAAAUCGCGGACCCCAGACACAGAGAGACCAUUUUGGAUGUAAUAAGCAAAGGUGAGGUUUAUUACGGAGACCUAUUACAGAGAUCUCCGGGCCGACACGUAUCCCGCGCAGGAGAUACUCAAAAGUCAGAGGGUUAUAUAGAGAAGGCUAGGGGGUUUUGGUGUGGUUACAUACAAUUGGCUCAUUCAAACAUAGCAGUGAGAACAAAGCAGAAAGAGUACGUGUUAGAAGUCAGGGGCUUAUCAGGGUCUGGAGGAUGGCCCUGAGUGAGCUGGGGGGAGAUGUCUUUCUGUCAGACGUCCCAUGAAUCAGUCCCAUUAACUCAGGCUGGUUCCUGCAUUCCUUUUCUUUAUGGCUUGUCAGUCCUGCCUGGACAGUGUUUCCUGUGCUCCUUUAUCUUUAUGGCCUGCUAGUCCUGGCUGUAGGGCUUAGCCCUGGGUCUGUGGCCUUUUGGGGUUUAUUCUUUUAAUUUUUAUAUUUCUAAACCUAGAAUUCGUAUAAUUCUCUUUUCAUAAGUACUUCAGCGUGUCCAAUCUGCUCUCAAGAACAUGGCCAUACUCGGCGUUAGCCUAGCACACCUCCUAAAUGAAACAUUGUUUACAAAAUCUUUUUUUUUUUUUUUUGGUUCUUUUUUUCGGAGCUGGGGACCGAACCUGUUUACAAAAUCUUAUCUCAUCCCAUUGUCCUGAUUGCUUUAAAAUCCAAGGACCAGUCAGAGACCAUUCCUUGCAUUUCUUUUGUCAUGACUCAUAAGUCUUAGAUUUUGAGCAGUUUACUUUCAUGGCACCAUCUGAAACAUGACAGCAUGUCCUAGUCAUCUCAUAGUUUUGAUUAAAGCUACAGCAGCAACACAAGUGUGAGCAGGACAUUAUGUCAGAAGGCAAUCUGGAUGAGGGAUAAAUUUGAAUGCUCAAUUCAGAUGGUGCCUCCAGAUCUUUACCUUCUCUUUAUGACCACUCUGCUCUUUGGGAAAAUACACGGAUGUAAAAGUAUCUUUUUAUUCUCCUGAUGUAAUUGUUGUCUCCAAGACUUACUGCAUCAGUCUGCUAACCUAGGUCUGAGCCUGGAAGCUUCUGUCCUCUGUACGAUCUAACCUUCGCCUAGAAUGCUUUCAGCCUCUGAGACUUACUGCUGAAUAAGCUCACCCUUUCUAUUUCUUUCUGAGCUCACACGAGACGGUUCAACUCAGCUCUUCUGACUUAAAACUUCUCUCCAUGCUAACUGAUUCAAUCUGACUUCUCUAGGCUCCUCCUGAAAUGCUCUGCUUGACUUCAAACUCUCUCAGUCUGUUCUGAUCUUCUGGCUUCUCAUUCUCUGGCUCUGUCUUCACCUGUGUAUAGCUCAUUUUCUCUCUGCAGCCUGUCUCUGUACCACUGUCCCAGUAAAACCGCCUCCUGUUUUUUCUCUCUGUGCUGCUCUCUCUUAAGUAGUCUCUUUUCCUCUUUCUUCUCGAAAGAGCUGGGCAUAUUCUAUUCUGUCAAAUCUUUCUCUGACUCGUCCAUUUGUCUGCCACUCAAAUUAGACAUUAUUCUCAAACAUAGGUGCUUCCUUCUACCAACUAACUUUGCCUUCAUUGUUUGGGCUCAAAGGUCUAUAUACUAAAGGUGUGUCUGUACUCCAGCCUGCGGGAUUAAUGGUGUGUGCUAAGGCUGUACCACACCACUACUAGAAACAGGAUUUUUUCAAAACAAAACAACAAAACAAAACAAAACCCAAUCUUAGGGUUCACAGUGUGAUCAAAUACACUGAUUUUCCUUCUUGAUUCCUUUUGGAUUCUGAUAUUUUACUGGUUGUGACAGUAAUUAUUUUCUAAAACUAAAAUAUCAUUGUUGAUAAUAUCCAAUACUGCCGAGGAAACUAAUUUUCCUGUUGUUUGUUUUUGUUUUGUUUUGUUUUGUUUGAGUCCGGGUUUCUCUGUGUAGCCCUGCUUAUCCUGGAACUCACAGGUAGAACACACAGAGAUCCUGCCUGCCUCUACCUCCCAAAUGCUGAGAUUAAAGGCAUGUGCCACCACUAUCAGGCAAAAAAAAAAAAAAAAAAAUUAAAGGCAGGGUUUCAUGAGGCUUAGGCUAACCUUAAACUUGCUGUGUAUUCUUCUAUAACCCUGAACUCCUGGUGAAUGACCUUGAAGUCCUGAUUCUUCUGCUAGGAUUAUAGAAAUGUACCACCAUGCUUGGCCAAAAACUCCAAAAGUGGUGUGUGCGCACGUUCCUGCUUUUCACCACUUAAGUUCUUUCUAAUGACCUAUUUUCUAUUUACCUUCAAUGAACUAAUUGGUCCCUUCCCUUACAAAAGAUAUGUAGUGGUUUGCCUGGACGUUAUCUGUAUUUUGAUGCUAAUUCCACUGCCCCAAGGACAGCUGCCUAGUCUCAUAACUCAGGACUCAAGUGACUUCACCAGAACCUUCUCCCCAUUGAAUUUGUAAAGUACAGGUGAGGGACAGGUACAGGAUAGAAGGAGGCCUGUCAUUGGAGGAGAAGGAAGGAUGGGCGGGAGAGAAGUUUAAAGGAAGAGGAGGAGAUUAGAACAGAAAGGAGGAAGAGACAGGAGGGAGAGGGAGAGAAGCCGAGGCAGGACAAUAUGGCGGGUGACGUUAAGACUCCAUGCUAAAAAAAAAAAAAAAACCAAAAAAAAAAAACUAAAAAAGACUCCAUGCUGUACCUUUACAGGUUGUUACGAAUGUUCUUAAGGGAUGGAUGUGUAUUGGGCUUUGUAUGUUUAGGUGGGCAAUUAUAUCUCACCAAUUGGACCAAAGGUUAUUGUGUUGUGUGUUCUUUUUUUUUUUUUAAAGAUUUAUUCAUUUAUUAUAUAUAAGUACACUGUAGCUGUCUUCAGACACACCAGAAGAGGGCAUCAAAUCUCUUUACAGAUGGUUGUGAGCCACCAUGUGGUUGCUGGGAUUUGAACUCAUGACCUCUGGAAGAGCAGUCGGGUGCUCUUAACCACUGAGCCAUCUCUCCAGCCCCGUGUUGUGUGUUCUUUCAUGUGUAUAUUUAAGUGUAAUGGAGUGUGCGGUCGCCACAGAGUUGAGAUGUGUGUUUCUGGCAUGGAAACCUGCCUUGGGAACUAGAUAGGUAGAGAGAUUGCUGAAGGCUCAGAGAGAGGCCAUCGGCAGUGUGAUAGGGGAUGGAGCAGAGCGGGUGAGACGCUUUGCUGACUGAGGGCACUGUGGUGCUGGACCUAAGUGAGGUAAAAGACAACCAUACUUUUUUUUUUUUAAUUUUUUAUAUUUUUACAAUAACAAAGAUAUACGUUGGUUGCUUAACUACUGUUGCUGUGAUAAAACAUUAACCAAAAACAAAUGGGUAAGGAAAAGAUUAAUUUGACUUACAGUUAGCAGUCUAUUAGAGAAGCCGAGGCGGGAACAUAUUGAUUACAAUUGCCGAGUGGAAAGUGGUGGUAAGGACCUAAGGACAUUCUCCCAUCUUGGUGGACCCUCUUAGCUGCUCCAUAUGUGCCCCUCUCUAGGAUCUGCCCUUUGCUCCCAUAAAUUCCUCUACCUGGAGUGCUCUCCUUUCUCCUUUGUGUUUGGAGGUCGGGUUCCUAAAACAGUGCUUCAGGACUAAGACGAGAAACUCCUACUUUUUAAGCCUUUUUUGAUUUCUCUUCUCUAAACAGUGGCUUUUCUUAAUUCUCCACAUAUUCCCAAACAGAUUGCAAUCACUUAGCUGACUUCCUAUCCUACAGAAUAUGAGCAGGUGAAGGACCCUCCUCCUAGAAGGUCUCUGUCCUUGUGUUCCUCUGAGGUCUAUCUGUCCUUGUGCUCUGCCCAGCUGUCACUUUGAGCAGUUGAAUGGCUUUCUGGAUUCUAAGGCUGUCCUUAAGUAUACCAGAGUUGAAUUCUGCUGGUAAGACUUUGAUGAGAAGCUCUGCCCUUUCCUUCUGUUUAUUUUUUCAAGCAUGUUCCCUACAGGAGGGGGUUAACCAGGAAGUUUCCUUUACUCCCUUCCCCCAGACAGAAGGAAAAAAAAAAAUAACAGGAAACCUACUCGCAGAAAACAAUGAAGAUGUAUAUCAAGCAUUUGUUCCUUUCUGUGCAAGAGAAAUUCAGCAAGGUAUUAGGUUAUCACGACAGCACUUGAGGGAAUCAAAGCUGCUUUGAGCCUUAAGAACUUCCAGGCCCAUUUGGCUAUUUUUUUUUUUUUUAUGGAAAUCUAGAGUUAAAACGUAGCCUCUUAACCAAAGUAAUAGGUAUCAUCGAGAAUGCCCACAACCGUCCUCUGGAAGCUGUGCACCUGUGGUACGGGAACCUAGUCUGGUGACACAGGUAGAUUGGUUAUUUCCUCUUACAGGCUUUGGACCCAGAGAGAAAAUAAAUAGGAGAUACUGUUUAUCGAGCACCUUGGCGACAUACAAAUGUCUUCCAGAGUUACCAUUUACAACAUCCGAGGUUAAAUGUCUCUGUUUUGUGGGCAAAGAAGGUGUGUCCCACACUUGACAGUUAGAUAUGAGUGACACUGAGAUUCAAAAUCUCGGACCUCUCUGUCCCACAGAGUCCUGUGAGAUGGCACUGUGCUUCCAAGUGGCUGACCCCUACACACUGAGAGAACCCUGUGCCCACGUUACCUGCUCUAACGCAUGCCAGCCCCAGGAACAGUAUUGUUGCCUCCUGAGACCCAGUCCCCAAGUUGGUGUUUAGAUCAGGAACUCCUGCCUACACCAAUCAGCGUGCAGCUCCCAGGCUGCUGGUCUCCAGCCACAGGAGAAUCGAUGUAAGCAUCAAAUCCAAGGGGGAGAAGAGACAAAACCAUUAAGAAAAAGGUGCAGAGGGCUGGAGAGAUGGCUCAGCGGUUAAGAGCACUGACUGCUCUUCCAGAGGUCAUGAGUUCAAUUCCCAGCAACCACAUGGUGGCUCACAACCAUCUGUAAUGAAAUCUGGUGCCCUCUUCUGGCCUGAAGUCACAUAUGCAGGCAGAAGGCUAUAUAUAAAAAAAAAAAAAAAAAAAAAAAAGGUGCAGAGUCUGCCCUGUAUGUCCAGUUCUGUGUGUUCAGCUAUCUUAAGAGGAGCCUUUUAAUGUAGUAAGCCGACAUAAUCUUGAUAUAGCAAGUAUUGUAUGUGCUAAAUGACCAUUAAAUAGUAUUUCUUCUGUGCUAGGACUUUUUAAAAAAAAAAAAAUCCCAGGCUGAUCUUAAACGCUCUGUGAAGCUAAGGGUGACCUCGAAUUUUCCGAUCCUCGUGACUCCUCCCAAGAGCUGAGGUGUAUGUCACCAUGCCGCUUACACCGCAGUGCUGGGAUGCAGGGGCUUUGAGUUUCUUGAGACAAGGAUUAUCCAGGAGUUAAGCUUCCAGGAAUGUCUGAGAAGGAUUAUCAGAAUUCUGUUAGCCUAUGGGUAUGCCUGCCUAUAGGAUCAGUUGUGGUAUUAAGAGGCCCACCUUAACUGAGGGCUGUACAUGUGUGGUGUGGUGGUGGUGAUGGUGGUGAUGGUGGUCUGUGUGUGCGUGCGUGCAUGCAUGCUUGUGUGUAUGUGUGCGUGUGAGUGCAUGUGCACACACAAUAACUGCCUUACAGCCCUGUAACUAUGUCUCCCUGUCAUGAUAGCCUGUGCCCAGACUAGUGAAACUAAAUAAAGCCUUUCCUUCCGUUGCUUCUGUAAGGGUAUUUUGUCACGGCUACAAGAAAUUAACACAGUGGACGAGUGCUCUGCCGACUGAGUUAGAGCCUCAGACCCAAGAAGUUCAGUCUCACACACAGGCUUACGAACGACCUUUGCAAGGUGCGAGUCAUCAUCCCCAUUUCACAGGUUAGGAACAGAAGCCUCCAGAGGUUGCCGUCUAGCAUCUGGCUGGUACAUACUGGAUGUUUGAAUAGUGUGCGUGGUACAUGUGUGGUGUAUGUAUAUGUGUAUGGUGUGUGUGUAUAAGUGUGUGGGGUGUGUGUGUGUAUGUGGUAUGUGUGUGUGAUGCAUGUGUGUAUAUGUGUGUGGUAUAUGUGUGUAUAUGAUGCGUGGGUAUGGUAUAUGUAUGGCGUAUGUAUAUGUCUUCGUGGUAUGGGUAUGUGGUGUAUGUUUGCAGUAUGUGUGUGUAGGGAGGGUGUUCACGCAUGCAUCUUGCAGGUGUUUGGGUCAUUGUGUGCACAGAGGCCAUCAGAGGCUCCUGCUGUAUCCCAGUCUACUUUAUUCCCUUGAGGCAGAGUCUCCCACUGAACUCAGAACUCACCACUGGUUAGCCAGGCUGGCAGUUCUAGAGAUCCUCCUGUCUCUGCUCUCCCUGCCUCCUAGGGUUCGCUAGGGUUACAGUGAACAGUUCACCUUUUAUGUGUGUGCUGGGGAUCUGUACCCAGGUCCUUUUACCUACCAAGCCAGCUUCUCAGCCCCUCAAAAUAGGAUAAAAAACAAAAGCACCCUCCAUGUGUCAUGCUAAUGAGGAGUGUAGGUCCUUACGUUGUGACACUCCUCUUUAAAGAAAAACCCAUACAAAUCACAAAAGCUAUGGUUUGAAUAUUUUCUCCAAAUAUUAAUUCCCAAAUCCAUGUGUGGAUGGCAUGUGAGAUAGGACCUUUGGGAGGUAUGAAGGGCAGGUGAUGUAAUGAGCAUGGUACCUCUCACAAUGGAAGGAGAGGUUUUGUGAGAAGAGAUCCAGGUGGUGGCAUACUCAUGACCCAGCACUUAAGAGGUGAGGGCAAAAGAAUCUCAGUCAACCUGGGCUACUGUGGUUUGAAUAGGUAUAGUCCCAUAAACUCACAUGUCUGAAUGCCUGGCCUACGUGGCUGUUAGGAGGUGUGGCCUUGUUUGGAGUGGGUGUGGCCUUGAUGGAGGACGGCUGUGGACCCUCAGCUUUGAAGUCUCCUAAGUUCAAGUUACACCCUGUGUGGUGUGCAGUCUCCUUCUGCUGCCCACAGAUCAAGAUAUAGAACUCAGUUCCUUCUCCAGCACCAUGUCUGCCUGUAUGGUGCCAUGUUUCUCACUGUGAUUAUAAUGGACUUAAGUCUCUGAACCUGGAAGCCAGCCCCAGUGAAGUGUUUUCCUUUAUGAGAGUUGCACCGAAACCCUAACUGAUACAACUACAUAGCAAGAUCCUGUCUAUUCAGCACAAAUGCCACGCCCGCUGCCUUGCUCCUCGCUGCGAUCAAGUCUCAGAAACAAAGGCCAGAUAAUGAUGAUCCAAACUUACGAUCCCAUCACUCAAGAGUUUGAGGCCAGCCUGGGCUGUGUGGUGGAUUCAGAGCAGCAUAGAGAGCCUAUUUUUUUUUAAAUCAAAAAUAAGUAUGUAUGGUUAAAGUAUCUUUUAUUCGCCUGAUGCAUUUGUUAUCUUGGAGGCUUACUGCCUCGGAGGCUAACCUGGGCUUAGUCCUGGAAGCUUCUAGUCUCCGUCCAAUCUAAUUUAGACCUAGGAUGUUUUCAGCCUCGGAAAUGUACUGCUGAAUAAACUCACCGCCUCCUAGUUGUUUCUGAGCUCUGGCUGGCUAAUCAACUCAGCUCUUCUGGCUCAAACUCAUCUUCAAGCUGACUGAUUGAACUUGGCUUCUCUCUCAACCUAUGACUUUUUUGCUCUGGCCUCAAACUAACUCUGGCAAUCUGUUCUAAUCCUUUGGCUCCUUCUCAUCCUCUGGCUCAUUCUGACUAAACUUGCGUCUAGCUUUUUCUCUCUCUGCAACCUGUCUCUUACAACUGUCCCAGUAAAACUGCCCUCUUCUCUCUCUCUCUCUCUCUCUCUCUCUCUCUCUCUCUCUCUCUGUGCGUGUGUGCUGCUUUCUCUUAAGUAGCCUCUGUUUUCUCUCUGUUCUCAUGAGUUGGGUAUAUCCUGUUCUGUCAAAUCUUUCUCUGAUUCAUCACUUUGUCUGCCACUCAAAUUAGACAUUACUUUCAAACAGGAGUGCUUUCUUCUACAAACCCCAAACUUCACUGUUUGGGAUUAAAGGUAUGUACUAAGGCUUGAGCCACACCACAACUAGAAACAGGCUUUUCCAGUAAACAGCAAAAUCUCAGGGUUUACAGUCUGAUCAAAUUAUCCUGCAACAAUGUAUUUUAAAGUCAUUAUUCACAUUCAGUGAAAUACUCUGUGUGAACUAGUAUUGGCAUUUUUAACUAAUAUAUCUUAUAAUUAUUAUUACACAGAAAUGAUAAAUUCAAGUAGCUGUAUAAAAUGACACAGUUAACUUCUUUUUUUUCUUUUUUUUUUUAAGAUUUUGUUUAUUUUUAUGUAUAUGAAUACACUGUAGCUGUCUUCAGACACACCAGAAGAGGGCAUCGGAUCCCUGUUAUAGAUGGUUGUGGGCCACCAUGUGGUUGCUGGGAUUUGAACUCAGGACCUCUGGAAGAGCAGUCAGUGCUCUUAACCGCUGAGCCAUCUCUCCAGCCCCACAGUUAACUUGUUUCGUCUUUUUAGUUACAGUUGGGUCCUUGGGCAUUUGGAACCUAUUACUUAGAUUCAAUAAGAGACAUAGACAUAGAGACAUAGACCUCCUUAUAAGUUUAUUCUCCAAAAGAACAUAAUGGCUGAAUCAGAAGGUGGCCAAUGCUGUAGCUGUUCUCCGGAUUAAUGUGUAUGUAAAACACUAGGACUGACAAAAAGCAAUGUAUUUUCCUUUGAGAAACGUCCCCACACACUGCAGAGAUUGCAUAGGUCUUAGAUCAAACUUCUUUAUGUCUUAUCCUGAACUUCUCUGGAGCUGUUGUUGUGUAUUGGUAAUAAAAAAGGCAAACAAGGCUUCAGUUUUAUUCAUACAUUCACAUUCUCUUCAGACAUUGUACCCCCUAAUUGCCUGCCCUGAAGAGCACAGCCCUCCUACCCAGCCCUAACCCCCUCCCAGCCCACUUCCUAACAUCUGAAAGGCAAGGUCCACAGUGGAGAGUCCUGGACGGUUGAUUUCCUGGUGUAGCCAUGCAGAAAGCUUUUUGAAGGGAGCUGUGCAAGGGAAUCUGAUGAGCCUGACUGGGGAUGGGUAGAUGGUUGGGAGGAGUUUGUGGCCAAAGAUCCAUCACCAAAGUUACUACUGUGGCUCAUUUUCCUGACCUGGGUCCCUGUGAGUAGGUCUUUUUUUUUUUUUUUUUUUUUUUUUUUUAGAUUUAUUUAUAUAUAUAAGUACACUGUAGCUGUCUUCAGACACACCAGAAGAGGGCAUCAGAUCCCAUUACAGAUGGUUGUGAGCCACCAUGUGGUUGCUGGGAACUGAAUCGGGACCUCUGGAAGAGCAGUCAGUGCUCUUAACCACUGAGCCAUCUCUCCAGCCCGUGAGUAGAUCUUAUAGACCUGCCCCACUUCUCAUCUGCUCUCGGUUUCCUGACUGCCAACACUGUGACCAUCUGUCUCAGGAUCCUGUCACUAUGCCUCCUGCUCUUGAAGGAUGUACCAUCGACCUGUAAAGAAAAAUCCUUCUGGGGUUGGGGAUUUAGCUCAGUGGUAGAGCGCUUGCCUAGGAAGCUCAAAGCCCUGGGUUCGGUCCCCAGCUCCGAAAAAAAAGAACCAAAAAAAAAAAAAGAAAAAUCCUUCUGUCUGAAGUUGCUGGUUGGUCACACCAGCAAGAAAAGUAACUGAUCUCCAGUGGCCUCUUGAACCUGGGUUCCCCUGCUGUUCUUUCUGGUCUAUUUCCGUCUCACUUAACAAGUGAUCGGCCAUUCGAGCCCACUCCAGCCCUAUACGAUGACUUCAAAUGUUCUGCAGCCAAAUAUACAACCUCCUCAGGACUCCUUCCCUGAAGUGCUGUUGUAGGUCACUGCUGAUAAAGUCGACCCUGCGACAAGCCUUGUUGGUGAGCUUAAGAGAGACAGAACAUGUGACGUAUAACAUCUCUGGUACUGUUGUUUGAAUCCAAGCAGCAGCACUUCAAGAGUCUCCAGAUGCCUUGGUCCUUGAAGCUUUUAGGCAUGGCUAAACACAGUUCUGCUCUCACUGAGUAUGGACCACUCCCAUUUGACAUUAACCUCUCUUUCUGUCCUCUCUUCCAAACCUUGAACACACCAAACACUCAGGUCUUCUGUUCUCAGAGGAGAGGGAGCCUCUGGAUUGCCUGGGUGUUCUCUGAGUAUGCUUCCCAAGAGCUGCCCACAAUUCCCCAACUGGAAGUUCUUUCCUAGAGACAAACACAGAAGUUCUACCUUUUUUUUUUUUUUUUUUUUUUUUUAUUCUGGUUUGGUUUUUGAGACAGGGGACAGGGUUUCUUUGGAUAGUCCUGGCUGUCCUGGACUAUACUCUAUAGACCAGGCUAGCCUCAAACUCAGAGAUCUGUCUGUUCCUGCCUCCCCAGUGUUGAAGAUAAAGAUGUGCACCACCUGUGCCUAGCGGCUUUCUUUGCAUGUGAGCAUGUGUGCUUGCUCACACAAGAGGCAUGGAAUGUUUGUGGAGGUCAGAAGACAACGUACAGGGGCUGGAGAGAUGACUCAGCGGUUAAGAGCACCCGACUGCUCUUCCAGAGGUCAUGAGUUCAAUUCCCAGCAACCACAUGGUGGCUCACAACCAUCUGUAAUGGGAUCUGAUGCCCUCUUCUGGUGUGUCUGAAGACAGCGACAGUGUGCACACAUACAUGAAAUAAAUAAUACUUAAAGGAAAAGGCAUAUGCCACCACUGCCCAGCAUGAGAUAAUCAUGUUUAAAAGGAGGAACAGUAUGUGUUAGUUGUAGGUUCCAGAGCUUUCAGUGUGUGAGUGCUUGCUUGGCUCAGCUGUCUCGGGGCCUGAGGUGAGGAAGAGCAAGCAUGGCUGAGGUGAGGGCUGGCAUUAUGUUUUAAGUGUUUAUGACAGUGCUCAAGAGAUCUAUAGAACAAAAAUGCCUCUGACCUAUAUACCACCCUUGCCCCAGGACAGAUACUCCCCGGAUUGCCUAAGAUAAGAUAACAAGCCAUCAGUUUUCGAGUCUGUAAACAAGCUUGGUUGUCCCAAGUACACAGGAUGUGCUGGAUCACACGUAGGCAGGAGGUCUGUAGGCCAGAAGUAUGUCAGGAUGUAUGCUCGCCCCUGAUUGGACAAAGAUAGGAAGUAGGUAGGCUCAUGCCUUGCCUUUAUAAACCCUUGUGUAAUGGGACUCAUUGCCACAUGGUAGGAAUCCCAGGUACGGGCCUGGCCUGUGUGCUUUGUCCCAGCUAGGACUUAAUAAAUUUACCUCAAACUUGGUUCAAAA